AGCAGCCGCGGUAAUUCCAGCUCCAAUAGCGUAUAUUAAAGUUGUUGCAGUUAAAAAGCUCGUAGUUGAAUUUCGGGGUUCUACCGUUGGUCGGGUUUUGUCUGUACUGGCGUGUAGAAUUUCUACCUUCUGGGGAACCAUCAUGUUAUUAAUUUAACGUGGUGGGAAACCAGGACCUUUACCUUGAAAAAAUUAGAGUGUUCAAAGCAGGCUUAUGUCUGAAUACAUUAGCAUGGAAUAAUAAAAUAGGACGGUGGUCCUGUUUUGUUGGUUUCUGAAUCACCGUAAUGAUUAAUAGGGAUAGUUGGGGGCAUUAGUAUUCAAUUGUCAGAGGUGAAAUUCUUGGAUUUAU
rnacentral:rRNA from 1 species